rnacentral:rRNA from 1 species
AGCGGAGGAAAAGAAACUAACAAGGAUUCCCCUAGUAGCUGCGAGCGAACAGGGACGAGCCCAGCACUGUACUUUAGGGAAAUGUAGUGUUUAGGAGUUCAAGUCCAUCUUGAACGGGGCCACGGUCCGAAGAGGGUGCCAGGUCCGUAGAUGGCCGGUGCCGGCCCCGGGUGGGCCCCUCCUUAGAGUUGGGCUGCUUGAGAGUGCAGCCCUAAGCGGGUGGUAAACUCCAUCUAAGGCUAAAUAUGACCACGAGACCGAUAGAGAACAAGUACCAUGAGGGAAAGUUGAAAAGAACUUUGAAGAGAGAGUUCAAGAGUACGUGAAACCGCUCAGGGGUAAACGGAAAAGACCCGAAGCCCCGAAACGGGAGAUUCACGUCUUCUCGCAGGGUCCGCACCUUGAUUGUGGGGAUGGCCUUUCGCCCCGUCUGGCUCGUCCGUGGCGUGGGGGGGACCGCACUUCUCCCUUAGUAGGACGUCGCGACCCGCCCUGCGGCGGUCUAAGGUCCGGGAGAUGGUCUGUCCCUCUCCGGUGGCGGCAGCGCGUGUGACAGCUCCCCGGCACCGCGGCCGUCGGUCCGGGCGGUAUCGAAAGACAACGGCGCUGGGCCGCUCCACUGUGCGAGCGCCGCCGUCUCCCCGCAAGACCGAGCGUUUACCAGGGGGUGCCUUAACGGACACGCCCGGCUAGGCGCUCGGGCCCCUGGCGGGAGAGCACUCCGGCAAGGCCCAGUCCGCCAGUCGGCGGCGCUUCAGAUUCGGGAACUUAUCCGACCCGUCUUGAAACACAGACCAAGGAGUCUAGCGUGUGCGCGAGUCAUUGGGUGCAAAACCUAAAGGCGCAAGUGUCAGGGGUGCCUCCUGCGGGAGCGCGCCCCGAAGGGAGGAUGGGCCGCCGCACGGCACGCCCGUCGGAGCCCCGCACUCCCGGGGCGUCUCGUUCUCACCACGAGUGGAGACGCACCAGGAGCGCACACGCUGGUACCCGAAAGAUGGUGAASUAUGCCUGGCCAGGACGAAGCCAGGGGAAACCCUGGUGGAGGUCCGAAGCGAUUCUGACGUGCAAUUCGAUCGUCUGAGCUGGGUAUAGGGGCGAAAGACCAAUCGAACCAUCUAGUAGCUGGUUCCCUCUGAGGUUUCCCUCAGGAUAGCUGGCUCUCGGGAAGAGACGAGUCUCAUCCGGUAGAGCGAAUGAUUAGAGGUGAUGGGGUCGAAACGACUUCAACCUAUUCUCAAACUCCCAAUAGAUGAGAGCCCAGGCUUGCUUAAAAGUGAAGCCGCGGGACUCGGAUCAGAGUUGCCAAGUGGGCCAAUUUUGGUAAGCAGAACUGGCGCUGUGGGAUGAACCAAACGCAGAGUUAAGGUGAUUCGACGCUCACGUGAAACCAUGAAAGGCGUUGGUUGCUUAAGACAGCAGGGCGGUGGCCAUGGAAGUCCGAAUCCGCUAAGGAGUGUGUAACAACUCACCUGCCGAAGCAACUAGCCCUGAAAAUGGAUGGCGCUGUAGCGUCGUGCCUAUACUCUGCCGUCAACGGCAAAGCGGGCCGCCCCUGUAACACGGGGAGUCGCCGUUAAGCCUUGACGAGUAAGAGGGUCGCGGCGGUGUGCGCGGAAGGGUCUGGGCGCGAGCCCGCCUGGAGCCGCCGCCGGUGCAGAUCUUGGUGGUAGUAGCAAAUACUCCAGCGAGGCCCUGGAGGACUGAUGUGGAGAAGGGUUUCUUGUGAACAGCUGUUGCACAAGAGUCAGUCGAUCCUAAGCCCUAGGAGAAAUCCGAAGAGAAUGGUUGCCGUUAAUGUGAUGCACAUGUUGCGCCGCAAAAACGGGACCGGCGUAUAAAAACGACUCGGCGCCCCCGGCUGCCGCACCCCCCGAGAGGGGGUGUGGGCGCGGGGGUCGCCGAGUCUUUUUUUUAUUUUUUUUUUACGCCGGCCCGUGCGGGCAAGACGAGUGAGCAGGCACCGUUCGGGCGAAAGGGAAUCCGGUUCCUAUUCCGGAACCCGGCAGCGGAACCGCUCCAAUUCGGGCCCUCAUCAGAGGACUCGUCGGGGUGACCCGAAAUGACCCGGAGAAGCCGUAGGGAGGUCCGGGGAGAGUUGUCUCUUCUCUAUAAGCGUUCGAGUUCCCUGGAAGCCUCUAGGAGGGAGAUAGGGUUUGGAACGCGAAGAGCACCGCACUUACGGCGGUGUCCGGAUCUUCCCCUCGGACCUUGAAAAUCCGGGCGAGGGCCACGGGGAACACCGCGCCGGCUCGUACCCAUAUCCGCAGCAGGUCUCCAAGGUGAAUAGCCUCUAGUCGAUAGAAUAAUGUAGGUAAGGGAAGUCGGCAAACCCGAUCUGUAACUUCGGGAUAAGGAUUGGCUCUGAGGAUCGUGGCGCGCCGGGCUUGGUCGGGAAGUGGAGCGGUGCCAACGUGCCGGGCCUGGGCGAGGCGAAAGGCGUGUCUCACGCCCGGACCCUAGCUCGGUCCCGUGCCUUGGCCACCCACGGAUCUUCCUUGCU